GAGUUCUUGUAUUUGGGUCAGAUCAUGUCAAGCAAGUAAUCUCAUGGCCACACAUUGGUGAUUCACAGCAGCUUGGUCCACAGUUGAAUCAUGUGAAGGAGCUGUGCAUGUUUGGGGUGAAUGAGGGGGUGUGUGAUGCCCUGUGAUGACGUAGUGAAUAGAAAUAAAAGCCCUCAUUUCAACACUGAA